ACGCGCGAGAAUCACUUGCCGACUGGCAGUCGACUGCAAUGGCAACCAUUGGCCUGUCGACUGCGCUCCUUGCCGCCGAGGCGGUCGGCGGUCGCCGCGUACGUUCAACCAUUUUUGACCAGUCGCCCUUUAGGACCGGUUCACUCCGCGCUUCCUUCUGAGGUGGCUUGCGUGGUUGACGGCUGCGCUUAGGCGACGUCAGCCGCGCCUUGGACCAGUCGGCCACGGGUGAAUUCUGUGACGUCCGCGUCAGUCACCCAUCGGACCCGUCUUGAAACACGGACCAAGGAGUGCAGCUUGCGCGCAAGUCAUUGACACGAGCGACUACGGUCAACGGCGAAACGAGAGUGCUUUGUGCGUGGCUGCUGUGCCUGCACCACGCUGAUCCUGUCACCGCUGCUGCCGGCGGUGGUGACGGGCGCACAGCGGUGCCGCUGGAUCCGUCGCCGCUGUUCCUGACCACGCGUCCGGAGCAGCGAACGNUCGGACCAGCGGACUCGGAGCGCGCACGCUGCUACCCGAAAGAUGGUGAACUAUGCAUGAGCAGGACGAAGCCAGAGGAAACUCUGGUGGAAGUUCGUAGCGGUGUUGACGUGCAAAUCACUCGCCCGACUUGUGCAUAGGGGCGAAAGACUAAUCGAACCAUUUAGUAGCUGGUUCCUUCCGAAGUUUCCCUCAGGAUAGCUGGCGUUCGCAUGCAGUUUUAUCCGGUAAAGCGAAUGAUCAGAGGUAUUGGGGACGCAAUGUCCUCAUCCUAUUCUCAAACUUUGAAUGGGUAAGAAGGCCGAUUUGCCUUGAGAAAUCGUGCCCAGCCGGAAUGCGUCGAACGGCUAGUGGGCUAGUUUUGGUAAGCAGAACUGACGAUGUGGGAUGAACCGAACGUCAGGUUACGGUGCCCAAUGUUCGGUGCUCAUCAGACACCAUGAAAGGUGUUGGUCGAUAUAGACAGCAGGACGGUGGCCAUGGAAGUUGGAAUCCGCCAAGGAGUGUGUAACAACUCACCUGCCGAAUCGACUAGCCCUGAAAAUGGAUGGCGCUCGAGCGCCGAGCCUGUACCUGACCGCCUGGGCAACGUUGUUGUCGGUCUCGCGCGUGCACUUGCUGCGGACGCUUGAAGGCCAAGGCGUGUAGGAAGAGGUCGCGACGGUGCGCGUUGAAGGUGUCGAGCGAGAGCUCGCCUGGAGCCGCCGUCGGUGCAGAUCUUGGUGGCAGUAGCAAUUAUUCAAGUGAGAACCUUGAAGGCCGAAGUGGAGAAGGGUUCCAUGUGAACAGCAAUUGCACAUGGGUCAGUCGAUCCUGAGAACGAGGCGAAAGCCCAAGCGCAACGGUGUGACGUCGUUCCUGACUUGUUCGCCGUAGCUAGCAGCACGCCGUACCGUUCGAAAGGGAAUCCGGUUGAAAUUCCGGAACCGAGACACGAAGAUGUACACCCGGCAAAAUGUGCUGUCCUCCACCUAACUCGCCCACCAAAAGGAAAAUACUCUUCCGUACCUGCGAAACCGGAGAAGACACUGCUGCCACUGAAUGGAUCUCGAGUCCAGCUCCGUGCGCUAUCACCUGGAGAAAGCUACAAAUACCUUGGCAUACUGGUUAACUCCACUGAGCCGAACAAGACUGCCUUGACGGCUGUCUCAACUACACUACGAAAGAUAGCCGGCGCCCGACUCCGACCGCAACAGAAGGUUGCCCUGAUACGCGAAAACCUAAUACCGCGAUACCUGUACAAGCUGAGCCACCUUAAUCCUGUAAGUGCGGUCACCAGUCAAGUCGACCAACUUGUGCGCCAAACAAUCAAACAAAUCCUACACCUCCCACCGACUGCAAUCACGGACGCCUUCCUCCACCUCCCAGUCCGCCAUGGAGGACUGGGAAUCCCAAAUCUCAACAAUAUAACCUGCAUAAAGGCACUGCGGGCCUUCCUCAAGCUCGCAAACUCGCCAAAGCCGCUUACAAGAAUGAUUGCCGACCAUCCAGUCGCACAACGAACGAUAGCCACGCUUAAGUCACAGUUAGGCGUCGAGACACUAACGUUCAAGACUAUAAACGCCGCCAAACGCAGGCUGGCGAAACGACUAGUGGAGCAACUGCAAAACACCAACCAAGGACGGAAGCUAGCCUUCUUCCUUAAGAGUAAAGUCAGUAAUGCCUGCAUGACUGGAAAGCUCAUGACAGGACACGCUUUCCUUCGGGCAAUACAGUUGCGCACAAACACGGCACCCACAAGAACGGCUCUUCUGCGAGGACGGCGCAGCCAAAUGAGCGAGCAAGGAAAAUGUAGACAUUGCGGCACUGAAACUGGACAACUCGAAACUCUUAUGCACGCUGUGCAGCUAUGCCGCAGUACGCACGCCCUCCGAAUCAUCCGACAUAACACCCUCAUGGGGCGCCUUAAAGAAAUCGCCGAGCGAGAAGGUUUCGUGGUCACACAAGAACCACAUCUGAGACAUGAAGAACGGGUCCUAAAGCCGGACCUCAUUCUACGCCGACAUCACCGGAUAGCCAUCGUGGACAUCGCAGUCCCCUGGGACACUCCAGAGCGGUUUGUGGCAAGCCGGCUUCAUAAGCGCGGCAAAUAUUCCGCACUCAUUGCUCAGCAAAGGACAGCCAACCCUGGUUACGCUGUUACCGUGGAUGCCUUCAUCGUAGGCGCACGGGGACGAUGGGAUGACAAGAACGACAAGCUACUAAAGCUUCUGGGCAUCAAGCUAUCGGAAGGCCAGAAGGAAGCCCUGUGCACACUCAUGCUGAAGCUAACCGGCAGGAUAACCGACCAUUUCCUUACCUCUGCGUGCUGAACCAGGUGCGCGGCAGACCCCACCCCCCCAUUGAAGAAGACACCACCAAUAUCUCACUGACAGUCACCACUACCUCGUCUCCAUAACUAGGACCAAGCAUGAACGCCUAUUAUGUGUUAAUCUGUUGUGAUCGCUUCCUUUACAUGUACGCUCCGCUUAUGUGUUAAUCUGUUGUGAUCGCUUCCUUUACAUGUACGCUCCGCUCAAUGACCAACCUGUCUGAGGCCAACGGCGUAAGCAGGUUAAGGGUCGCCCGCAAUAUGUGUGCCGAUAUUGUGGAACAGUAAAAUUUGAUAGCCAAAUGCGAUGUCAUCUAAUUAGUGACGCGCAUGAAUGGAUCAACAAGAUUCCUACUGUCCCUAUCUACUGUCUAGCGAAACCACAGCCAAGGGAACGGGCUUGGCAGGAUCAGCAGGGAAAGAAGACCCUGUUGAGCUUGACUCUAGUCUGACUCUGUGAACAGACAUUGGAGGUGUAGCACAGGUGGGAGACCGGUGGCCGCUCGCGGUACCGUUCCGACAGUGAAAUACCACUACUUUGAUCGUUUCUUUACUUAUUCGGUGAAGAGGAAGGAACGGUCGCUCGCGUGGCCGUCUAACGGCGCGCGACGACUGCCACUUUUUGUGCAAAGCCCACGGGACGCGUGCCCCGCUGUCGGCGGCACGUCGAGCACCCGUAGCAACGCGAGGUGCCGUCCAGGGCGAUCCGGUCCGAAGACAGUGUCUGGCCGGGAGUUUGACUGGGGCGGUACAUCUGUUAAACGGGAACGCAGGUGUCCCAAGGUGAGCUCAGCGAGGACAGAAAUCUCGCCUGGAGCAAACGGGCAAAAGCCCACUUGAUUUUGAUUUCCAGUACGAAUAGAGACCGCGAAAGCGUGGCCUAUCGAUCCUUUUGAUUUUGCGGAUUCAAUGCAAGAGGGGUCAGAAAAGUUACCACAGGGAUAACUGGCUUGUGGCAGCCAAGCGCCCAUAGCGACGUUGCUUUUUGAUCCUUCGAUGUCGGCUCUUCCUAUCAUUGCGAAGCAGAAUUCGCCAAGCGUUGGAUUGUUCACCCACCAAUAGGGAACGUGAGCUGGGUUUAGACCGUCGUGAGACAGGUUAGUUUUACCCUACUGAUCACCGAUCGUUGCUGUAGUAAUCCUGCUCAGUACGAGAGGAACCGCAGGAUCAGACAUUUGGUUCAUGCGCUUGGUUGAAAGGCCAGUGGCGCGAAGCUACCAUCUGAAAGAUAAUGACUGAACGCCUCUAAGUCAGAAUCUUGCCUAUCGACUGGCGACGAUACGUUGCGU
rfam:Trichuris trichiura, WGS project CBXK01000000 data, contig: TTRE_2125